rnacentral:lncRNA from 1 species
CAAUAGAAACUCAGAGGAAAACCAUCACUAAUUUUGGCAUAUCGAAUGUCAAGACCGCAUUUCUGUCCGUGGGAGAAAGGGUUGUCGUCAUCUUUAAGUGACUGAGCUUUAGCUAUCUGCUGGUGAGUUGAUUCUGUGUUGACAAAGGUGAUGGUAAAACCUUUUGAGGCGAGCUUCAUGGCGAGAUGUGUGAAUGGAGUUAUAUGGCCUUGAAGAGGAAGUGGUACGAGUACUGCAUGUGGCUGUAGGUGCUCCAUUUAGUCCUAAAAUAUAGGAGAUGGUUGCCUUUUUUGAGAAAGGUAAGUAUAUUAUUGUUGAUAUAGCACCAAGGAAGUGCAGGGUAAAAAGUAUAUAGGAGUUAGUUGCCUUGUGUGUUUAUGUAAGAGCUUGGAAGGAGAUGGUGGCUUUAUGUUCUUUGAUGCAGAAAUGUUUAUUGUCUAAGUUGGUGUCUGGCUGUCCUUAUAGCUGCAUUUAUUUGAAUUUGGAGCCUUUCAUAUGUCAUCCCUUAGGUAUUUAAAGAUAAUGAGAUAGACAUGUCUUUUGUUUGGAGUGAAUCCCGGCUUGUGGCUUGCAGUUGUUUAUUUGUAAACACCGGAUUGUGUCCUGUAUUCAUUUGUUUGAUGUAAAUACUCGUUGGGGUAACUUUUUUCAGUUAAUCUAUUCUUAAAGAAAUUGAACUUGUUAGUGGUUGUGUCAUCAUAGACAUAGAGAAGUGUGCCUUUCCAAUAAUUGCAUUUGCAUAAUUGAUUAAUUGUAUUGGUGUGGUCCCUUUCUUUCAAAUUCAAACGUUUGUUCUUCCUUUUCUUUAUGUUGGGCUAGGAAUAAUAUGUUAUGUGAACAGUAUAGUUUUGCUUGUAAUUUCUUUUACCUAAGUCAGAGUAAGAAAAAUUAUCUACCUUUACCCAUCUACAAAAUUUGCCCUCAAGAAAUUACACAACAUAGUUUUUUUUAAGUAAAUCUUAUCUCUACCUCGUAAGAGGUAGAAAGAUUCUUUCCGAAAUAAAUAAGAAAUAAUAAUCUUGGAAAAAUGCACUGGGGAAAGAGAUAGUGACUUAUUUGUUUUCAAAAAAAGAGAGAAGAUGAUGGAUUUGAAGGAUUACCAAAUCCAACACUAAAAAAUGAUUUAAAUAUCUUAGGGGAAAAGAAGACAAUAAAAACAUUGAUGUGGGCAAUUAUAAAAGUCCACACAACAAAACAUUUGCUACAGACAAAAUCGGAUAUGAACGAUUCUAAUAAGAUUUCAUUUUUAAACAAAAAGUCAUUUUUGAUUUAUUCAUAAUUUUGCUUUGCUAUCCCAUCUAGUGGUGUAGGAUUACUAACACCAUUUUCCAAGCUUAGAUCUGACAAUUAGAGCAUAAACAAGAUAUUAUGGGAACUCAAUAUUGAACGAAAGAACAAUUGAAUUCAUAUCAACACUAAUCCACUCGAACCAUCAAAAACUUUAAAAGUUAAGCACACUUAGGCGAGAAUAGUACUAGUAGUAUUAGGAGGGUGACCCUCUAGGAAAUUUCGUGUUGCUUGUUAAGUUAUAUGAUGUGCCUCCCUAUAUGGUCAUCGACAAUUCUCACCUUCUGAGAUAGCUUUGAAUAUUGAUUUAAACCCAAUUAUUUUUUUCCAUAGUAUCAAAGCAGAUAAAUAUCCUGAAUUCAAAUCUCAUCACCACUAAUCAUCUAGUUCAUGAAAAAAAAAAAAACAAGCUCGCACUUGCUAAACAUUGUCAAUGUAUCUUUUUCGUAAUUUGUGUCUUUUGAAUGAUGGAAUUUGCUUAGUUUUUCUCCUAGUAUCUGAACCUGAGGAGUGUGAAACUCAGGUCUUUAUGAUAUGACCAUGCUUUGAUUUUAGCUAGAGCAAAGAGUAGGAUAGAGGGAGUACAUGUGUUCUGAUAGAACAAGGUCUUACUUCUUUUGCUCGGAUAGUGUAAGAUAUAUCUUCACGACACAUAAUUCACUGGGGUAUUACUUCCCUUGGCUAUUUUCUGGAAUUAUAGACACAAGUUGUGGUUCCAUUACCAAUAAAGUUUAACAUAUUUGUAUCCAGUCCGUGAAUGAUGGAAUGGGAAGAUCACACGAAGAGUGUGGAUUCAUGGAAAGUUCUUGUAAGUUCACGACACUUUGGUUUUGAUGGGAGAAAGUGAACUUGUAAGCAGGCACAUUAAUGUUUCAUGAGCUUAAGAACUUUAAAAAGAGAUAAACAUAAGUUAUUUUUAACCCUUAAAAAUAAGAAUGUCAAUCCCUGAGAUCCUAUUGAAAAAUGAAAAAUUCUGUCCUUUUCCAAGUAGGAAGGCAGAGAUGUCUCGUGAAAUAUACGAAAUGGUGCUGAAGUUGUAUAAUGAGAUGUAAGGAAAGGAUGAAGAAAAUUCACAAGAUGGUGAUAUUCUUUGUUAUCUUAAGCUUGAGGAUGUUCUAAGGCCAGGUCACACUAUGAAGGUGCAACUUGUUUUGAGAAGCUUCCCAAGGGCGAAAUAUCGUUGUUCCUGUAGUGUAAUAGAAUUUAAUUGUGAAAAGUAAGUCGAUAUGAAGGCUGGAAGUAAAGGAUGUGUGUUGUCAAAUAAACUUUUCACCUUGUCAUUGUCAGAGAUUCUGGUUGUGAGGAGGAUUCAUAUAACUCAUCGCAACUUGUUUUGGACUGAGACGUAGUUGCUGUUGUCAUUAUCAGACGUAGAUAUUUUACUUGAGUAUACAAAACAACUAUACUGACAUGCUAUAUAGACGUAGAUCUCUUGCAAUUAUGCCAUGCCUUUAUUCAACUAGUUCAAAUGGAACAGGGUAAAUUGCGAGGAUUCAUAUAGCUGACCAGACUAGUAUAAGGCAUAAUAAUAGUAAUUGUAUGUUAUGCCAUUAUUCACUCCGAAACAUUAUAGAACUAAUACCUCACUUGCUAAGCUACUCCAUGAAAAUACAUCACUUGCUAUUCUUUUGGCUUAACAGAACCGUAAUAGGUAAGUGAGAAUGUGAUAAGAAGCUCAAUUUUUCUGAAGAAUCUUGUUCUUCAUGUCUUGUAUGAAUUGGUUGAGAUUCUUCUCUGAAGAUCCCUCAUCAGAAAGUGCAUUUUGAAGUAUCAUCUUUGUUUUAUCGAUAUUCUCCCUCGAUUCAUCUGAGUUAUUCAUUAUCUUUCCAAUAUUCUCCGCUACUACCUCCCUCCUGAUCAAUCCUCUAGUGCAAAGAUUCACACCGAUCCUCCAAUCAUCAACCACUAAUUUCCUGUUAGUAAGUUGAUCCCCCGAAACAGGAAAGCACACCAUUGGAACUUUACACCAUAUACUCUCCAAGAUUGAAUUCCACCCACAGUGAGUCAGAAACCCUCUGACUGAUGGAUGUGAUAGUAUUGCUAGUUGAGAGCACCAUGGCACAACCAAUCCUCUCCCUGCUGUUUCUUCCUCAAAUCCGAGAGGCAAAAUGUUUCUUUCUCCGGAUACUAAGAUAUUGUGACGUAGCACCCAAAUGAAACUCACUUUACUUAUCAGAAUGCCUUGUGCUAUUUCCAGAAUAUCCUGUUUACUUAAAUUAGCAAGACUACCAAAUGAGAUGUAUAACACUGUACCAUCUUGUUUGGUAUUGAGCCAGUUGGUGUAAUCUGUUGCCGGUAGCAGGUUCGUUGAAAUUGUUUUCUUGGUAAAGUUUGUGGGACAGAUUGGCCCAAUUGCAUAGAAUGGUUGCUGCUCUUGUAAGGCCAAGAUGGUUGAAGACUCUAGCUCUUGCACUGUAUUACCAAUGACAAUGUCCGCUUUCUGUGCAUCUUCAAUACACUUGAACACGUAUUUAGUCUCGUUUGGAUCAGCAUCUUGACAAUAUGAAGGUAAAUCCUCUGGUUUAAUGGCUUGAAUUCCUGGUAUGUAGCUAAUGGUGUCAUCGUACUUAUCUGGACAAAAAUGAUAACUCAUUAGCUAAUUGGUUAUGUAUAAUGUAGUCAGAAAUUAGACUGUAAUAGUUUCUAGAUAAAAGGUUCAUACCAUGUCGCCCAAAGUGGCCAUUUCUCUUGAGCAGGUCGGUGUUAUAGAAGACUGUAAGCACUGUUGCUGGUUCAGUCCAAAAUGAGACAUUGACGAGAUUAUAUUUCCUUGCAAUCGUUGAUCCCCAUACGUGGAAACUGUCAGUUAUUAUACAAGAAACUGGUGGAUUUGGUUUCGAGAGGACUAGAUUUUCAAUGAAAUCAUCAACAUGAGCUUGGAAAACAUGAGUGAGACCUAUCAUGAACUGGCUCGCGUUGGCUCUCCUGUCAAAACUCAGUGGAAAACCAUCGCUGAUUCUAGCAUAACGAAUGUCAAGACCAGAUUCCUCUGCAUGGGAGAAAGGGUUGUCGUCAUCUUUAAGUGACUGAGCUUUAGCUAUCCGCUGGUGAGUUGAUUCUGUGUUGACAAAGGUGAUGGUAAAACCUUUUGAGGCAAGUUUCAUGGCAAGAUGUGUGAAGGGAUUUAUAUGGCCUUGAAGAGGAA